ensembl:rRNA 5S_rRNA 5S ribosomal RNA
GUCUACGACCAUCCUACUUUGAACAAGCCCUAUCCAGUCUGACCUCGAAAGCUAAGCAGGGUCGCGCCUGGUUAGUACUUGGAUAGGAGACCAUCUAGGAAGACCAGGUGCUGUAGGCG